rnacentral:rRNA from 1 species
GACGAACGCUGGCGGCGUGCUUAACACAUGCAAGUCGAACGGAAAGGCCUGCUUUCCCUUGUGGAUUGCGGGUACUCGAGUGGCGAACGGGUGAGUAACACGUGAGUGAUCUGCCCCCAACUUGGGUAUAAGCCUGGGAAACUGGGUCUAAUUCCCGAUAGGACUGCAGGGUGGUGCCUGUGGUGGAAAACGAUUUUCUAGUGGUUGGGGAUGAGCUCGCGGCCUAUCAGCUUGUUGGUGGGGUAAUGGCCUACCAAGGCGGCGACGGGUAGCCGGCCUGAGAGGGUGGACGGCGACAUUGGGACUGAGAUACGGCCCAGACUCCUACGGGAGGCAGCAGUGGGGAAUAGUGCACGAUGGGCGGAAGCCUGAUGCAGCGACGCCGCGUGGGGGAUGACGGCCUUCGGGUUGUAAACUCCUUUCGACCGCGAGGAAGCCACCUGGUUGGAAGGGUGGUGACGGUAGUGGUAGAAGAAGCACCGGCUAACUACGUG